CCCACAAAAUUUACAGAAUUUGUCCCAUUUAUUUCUAUCAUAACUAAAUAUUACCCGACUGUGAGGCAAAUAUUGCCCAACUGGCUUUGUUUGCCCAACAAACUGAGGUUAUUAUUAAGAGAGAUUUUCUUGUUUUGACUACUUUUUGCCCGACUUUUGCCCGACUUUUGUGGAACAUUUGCCCGACUUUUCGACUUUGUAAUCUGUUUGGGGGGAAACCAUUUUUCAUGGUUUGUUUACCACAAAAAUAAAAUAUAACGAAAUAAUUAAAUGUCGGGAAAAGUGUAAUAUAUUUUGGACAGCUGUUCGUCGGCAAACAAAUUAUAGACGCCAUUUAUAGUAAUUACUCUUAUUAUGACAUUCUCAAAGGCUAGGACUAAUUUCGAAAAUAAAAUU
rnacentral:lncRNA from 1 species